rnacentral:rRNA from 1 species
AGAGUUUGAUCAUGGCUCAGGAUCAACGCUGGCGGCGUGCCUAACGCAUGUAAGUCGAACGCAGGACCUUCGGGUCUUGAGUGGCGAACGGCUGAGGAACACGUACGAACCUGCCCGCUUGUGGGGAAUAACUCACCGAAAGGUGUGCUAAUACCGCGUACGCUCACACGAGAGUGUGAGGAAAGUCGCAAGACGCUGGCGGAGGGGCGUGCGGCCCAUCAGGUAGUUGGUGGGGUAAUGGCCUACCAAGCCGAUGACGGGUAGCUGGUCUGUGAGGACGAUCAGCCAGACUGGGACUGCGAAACGGCCCAGACACCUACGGGUGGCAGCAGCGAGGAAUCUUCCACAAUGGGCGCAAGCCCGAUGGAGCAACGCCGCGUGGAGGACGACGGCCUUCGGGUUGUAAACUCCUUUCGGGGGGGAUGACACUGACAGUACCCCCAGAAGCAGCCCCGGCUAACUCUGUGCCAGCAGCCGCGGUAAUACAGAGGGGGCAAGCGUUGUCCGGAAUUACUGGGCGUACAGCGCGCGCAGGCGGACCGCCACGUGCCGUGUGACAAGCCACUGCUCAACAGUGGAGGGCCAUGGUACACGAGCAGUCUGGAGGCAGGGAGAGGGAUGUGGAAUGCCCGGUGGAGCGGUGAAAUGCGUAGAGAUCGGGCGGAACACCAGCGGCGAAGGCGGCAUCCUGGUCCUGUCCUGACGCUGAGGCGCGAGAGCGUGGGGAGCAAACUGGAUUAGAUACCCCUGUAGUCC